CGGACCUCCGAUCAAGCAAGAGGACCCGCUGAAUUUAAGCAUAUAACUAAGCGGAGGAAAAGAAACUAACCAGGAUUCCCCCAGUAACGGCGAGUGAAGCGGGAAGAGCUCACGUUGUAAAUCUGACUUCGGUCCGAAUUGUAGUCUGGAGAGGCGUGACCAGCUGGAGACGGGGGCGAAGUCUCUUGGAAAAGAGCAUCAAGGAGGGUGACAAUCCCGUUCUUGCCCCCGCCUUCCACGCGUACGGUCCGUUUUCUACGAGUCGAGUUGCUUGGGAUUGCAGCUCAAAGCGGGUGGUAAAUUCCAUCUAAAGCUAAACACGGGUGGGAGACCGAUAGCGAACAAGUACCGUGAGGGAAAGAUGCAAAGAACUUUGAAAAGAGAGUUAAAGAGUGCCUGAAAUUGCUGAAAGGGAAGCGAAGGAAACCAGUGUCUGGCGGUUCCGCUUCUCCUUUGUCCCUCGGGGCAUUGGUUUGCGUUUCCGCCGUGGCCAGGGCCGGGUAGUGUUGCGGGAGUCUGCGCCUCGGAAGGUAGCAUCUCUUCGGAGUGUGAAGACCGUGGCGUGUCGUCGCGACGCUGGCUGGUUCUGACGAAAUGGUUUUCUUUACCCCGUCUUGAAACACGGACCAAGGAGUCUAACAUGCCCGCGAGUACAGGGGUGCUCAAACCCCCGUGCGCAGUGAAAGUGAAUGCAGGUGGGAAGCCGCAAGGUGGCACCAUCGACCGACCAUGUCUCUUCGGGGGCGAGGUUUGAGUGUGAGCGUGCAUGUUGGGACCCGAAAGAUGGUGAACUAUGCCUGAGUAGGGCGAAGCCAGGGGAAACUCUGGUGGAGGCUCGUAGCGAUUCUGACGUGCAAAUCGAUCGUGAGAUUUGGGUAUAGGGGCGAAAGACUAAUCGAACCAUCUAGUAGCUGGUUCCCUCCGAAAUUUCCCCCAGGAUAGCUGCAACCUGCGUUCAGUUUUAUCAGGUAAAGCGAAUGAUUAGAGGCUGCUGGGAAGUAACUUCCUAGCCCUAUUCUCAAACUUUAAAUGGGUAAGAGACCGGGGUCGCUUAAUUGGACCCUGUGUUGGAAUGAAGGUUGCUAGUGGGCCA
rnacentral:rRNA from 1 species